rnacentral:rRNA from 1 species
GGGGAAUAUUGCACAAUGGGCGCAAGCCUGAUGCAGCAACGCCGCGUGAAGGAAGACGGUUUUCGGAUUGUAAACUUCUGUUCUUAGUGAAGAAUAAUGACGGUAGCUAAGGAGCAAGCCACGGCUAACUACGUGCCAGCAGCCGCGGUAAUACGUAGGUGGCAAGCGUUGUCCGGAAUUACUGGGUGUAAAGGGAGCGCAGGCGGGUGAUCAAGUCAGCUGUGAAAACUACGGGCUUAACCCGUAGACUGCAGUUGAAACUGUUCAUCUUGAGUGAAGUAGAGGUUGGCGGAAUUCCGAGUGUAGCGGUGAAAUGCGUAGAUAUUCGGAGGAACACCGGUGGCGAAGGCGGCCAACUGGGCUUUAACUGACGCUGAGGCUCGAAAGUGUGGGGAGCAAACAGGAUUAGAUACCCUGGUAGUCCACACUGUAAACGAUGAUUGCUAGGUGUGGGGGGUCUGACCCCUUCCGUGCCGGAGCUAACGCAAUAAGCAAUCCACCUGGGGAGUACGACCGCAAGGUUGAAACUCAAAGGAAUUGACGGGGACCCGCACAAGCAGUGGAUUAUGUGGUUUAAUUCGAAGCAACGCGAAGAACCUUACCAGCACUUGACAUCCAACUAACGAAAUAGAGAUAUAUUAGGUGCCCUUCGGGGAAAGUUGAGACAGGUGGUGCAUGGUUGUCGUCAGCUCGUGUCGUGAGAUGUUGGGUUAAGUCCCGCAACGAGCGCAACCCUCGCCAUUAGUUGCUACGCAAGAGCACUCUAAUGGGACCGCUACCGACAAGGUGGAGGAAGGUGGGGACGACGUCAAAUCAUCAUGCCCCUUAUGUGCUGGGCUACACACGUAAUACAAUGGCCAUCAACAGAGAGAAGCAAUACCGCGAGGUGGAGCAAAACUUCAAAAAUGGUCUCAGUUCGGACUGCAGGCUGCAACCCGCCUGCACGAAGUUGGAAUUGCUAGUAAUCGUGGAUCAGCAUGCCACGGUGAAUACGUUCCCG